CCCACUUAAAAGAAAAAAUUACAUUCGAAUCUGCCCCUCCCUAAUCCAAACCUAUGUUCCAACUUUUAUUUUCAUUACUUUGUUUAUAGCUUAGUUAUGAUAAUGUAUAUAUUUUCGGUUUUCGUCAUUUUGUGGGCGUGGCAGCCCAUCUUCGAAAGCAACCUCCUCAGGGUGCCAAGGAAUAUGUGUUCCAAGUUUCAUUAAGAUAUCUUAAUUUUUGCUCAAGUUAUCGCUUGCACGGGCAGACGGACGAACAGACGGACCCACAGACAUCCGGAUUUCAACUCCUCUCUGAUCAUUUAUAUAUUCUUUUAUCUCAUAUCUAACUCUUUUAUUUCUUGGUGACACAAACAACCGUUAUGUGAACAAAACUAUAAUACUCUGUGCAACAUGUUGCGAGAGUAUAAAAACAACGGUGAAAUGAUAAGCGACGAAACGGGUUUUUCAGUCUUGUCUAGGUUUGCUUGUUUUGUUUGCUUCGGUGUGGGUUGCGCUAUAGCUCAGCAUGUAUUGUCCAACAACAAGAACGGUUUCAGAAAAAUUUGUCGCAUUUGGUGUGCGUUGUAGUGAUGAACGAUAUUUCACUACCGGUUAUUUUUUCACUGUAAUUGAAAAAUCACAUAUAGCAAUUGCGAUAAAUUUUUGUAGAUAUCAGUGAUUUACAAUCGCAAUAGCAGUUCAAUAAUUUAAGUCCGAUCACAGUAGCUAUAGAGAAGUUCAGUGCUUUUGUUCGAUCACAGUACAUAUAGCAGUUCAGUGAUUCUAAUUCGAUCACUGUAGCAAUAGCAGUUCGAAAAGUAACAAUCACUGUUCAGUAGCAAUCUCAGUUCAGUAGCAAUAUCACUUCGAAAAGUAACAUCACUGUUCAGUACCAAUAUCAGUUCGAAAGUAGCAAUCACUGUUCAGUAACAAUAUCAGUAUAUAACAGUAGCAAAUUUAGUUGCGAUUUCGGUAAUUGUGGUAAAUUUGGUAAAAAUUUAUUAAUUAGUUUGUGAUGGGAAAUUGUGAUUACAAAAGCAGCAAUAUAAAAUCACAGUGAUUUAAAAACAGCAAUCACUGAAAUCACAGUGAUUCAAAAUUCGCAAUAUCGCUCAUCACUAGUUGAGACAGAAUAUUUUUUACAUCAAAUGGAAUUAUAUCCGACAUUUCUGAAGCUUGUUUUGGGCAUCGCAAUGAUCUAACCCAAUAGUAAAACAGCGCCUCAAAAUCAUGAAUAAAUCAGCAAACUUUGCCAUCAAUAGAUAUUGUUGUAAUUGAUACGAUUGUAC